GACGUAGGGCGCGAGCGUUAUCCGGAUUCACUGGGCUUAAAGGGUGCGUAGGUGGGUUUGUAAGUCAGUGGUGAAAUCUCCGGGCUUAACCCGGAAACUGCCAUUGAUACUAUCAGUCUUGAAUACCGUGGAGGUAAGCGGAAUAUGUCAUGUAGCGGUGAAAUGCUUAGAUAUGACAUAGAACACCAAUUGCGAAGGCAGCUUACUACCCGAAUAUUGACACUGAGGCACGAAAGCGUGGGGAUCAAACAGG
rnacentral:rRNA from 1 species